UUCUUAGCGUGAUACCGUAGUCUGGAGCUAUGGAAAUUAUAAUACUGUAUUAUUUACUAUAGAAGAGCCUUCUGAGGUAAAGUUAUUUCAGCUUUUGCACCGCAUUGGUUUCUAAACUAUAUGCAAUCUUUCAAGUACUGUCAGCGCAAAUGAUCCCUUAAUGAACGGAGAUUGAAAGAAAUUAAAGGGAUUGUAAUUAUCAUUUUUCGAAAGCAAGAUACAGAUGUGACUGCGAGUUGUCGGCUCAACAUUUUUGUGGUGAGAUGAAAAGGAGAAAAAUAAAAGUUCUGGGAGGGAUAUUAAAAAAUUUUUAUAUUGCCGCUAGUAUCUUUAUAUUUUUUCCCCACGAGCAAAUGAUAUCUCAUCGAAAAGUCCCUCGGCACAGUCCAAAUUACAGUGGAAU